UACGAAGGGGGCUAGCGUUGCUCGGAAUUACUGGGCGUAAAGGGAGCGUAGGCGGAUAGUUCAGUCAGAGGUGAAAGCCCAGGGCUCAACCUUGGAAUUGCCUUUGAUACUGGCUGUCUUGAGUAUGGGAGAGGUUAGCGGAACUCCGAGUGUAGAGGUGAAAUUCGUAGAUAUUCGGAAGAACACCAGUGGCGAAGGCGGCUAACUGGCCCAUUACUGACGCUGAGGCUCGAAAGCGUGGGG
rnacentral:rRNA from 1 species